rnacentral:rRNA from 1 species
UGGGGAAUAUUGGGCAAUGGAGGAAACUCUGACCCAGCCAUGCCGCGUGAAUGAUGAAGGCCUUAGGGUUGUAAAGUUCUUUCGCCGAUGAAGAUAAUGACGGUAGUCGGAGAAGAAGCCCCGGCUAACUUCGUGCCAGCAGCCGCGGUAAUACGAAGGGGGCUAGCGUUGUUCGGAAUUACUGGGCGUAAAGCGAGCGUAGGUUGCUCGACAAGUCAGUGGUGAAAGCCCAGAGCUCAACUCUGGAACUGCCAUUGAAACUGUCGAGCUGGAAUCUCAGAGGGGGUAGCGGAAUUCCAAAUGUAGGGGUGAAAUCCGUAGAUAUUUGGAGGAACACCGGUGGCGAAGGCGGCUACCUGGAUGAGUAUUGACACUGAGGCUCGAAAGCGUGGGGAUCAAACAGGAUUAGAUACCCCCGUAGUCC